GACGAACGUUGGCGGCGUGCUUAAUACAUGCAAGUCAACUGAAGCAGUGGUAGCAAUAUCGCUGUGGAGGUGGCGCACGGGUGAGUAACACGUAGGUAAUCUGCCUUCAGGUCUGGCAUAACUCCGGGAAACCGGGGCUAAUAGCAGAUGAUGCAGCGGCUCGACAUCGAGACAGUUGUUAAAGCUAUGGCGCCUGAAGAUGAGCCUGCGUCUGAUUAGCUAGUUGGCGGGGUACCGGCCCACCAAGGCAACGAUCAGUAGCUGGUCUGAGAGGAUGAUCAGCCACACUGGAACUGAGACACGGUCCAGACUCCUACGGGAGGCAGCAGUAAGGAAUAUUGCUCAAUGGGAGAAAUCCUGAAGCAGCAACGCCGCGUGAGGGACGAAGGGCUUUUGCUUGUAAACCUCUGUAGUGAGAGAAAAAAAUCCCAAUCUUUGGGACAUGAUGGUAUCUCAAAAGUAAGCCCCGGCUAACUACGUG
rnacentral:rRNA from 1 species